GUCAAAACGACUUUCAACAACGGAUAUCUGGCUCUCGCAUCAAUGAAGAACGUGGCGAAAUGCGAUACUUGGUGUGAAUUGCAUAAUCCCGUGAAGCAUCGAGUCUUUGAACGCCAGUUGCGCCCGAAGCCUUCGGGCUGAGGGCACACCUGCCUGGGCAUCACGCAUCGCGUCGC
rnacentral:rRNA from 1 species